AUUGAACGCUGGCGGCAGGCCUAACACAUGCCAGUCGAGCGGAUGAAGGGAGCUUGCUCCUGGAUUCAGCGGCGGACGGGUGAGUAAUGCCUAGGAAUCUGCCUGGUAGUGGGGGAUAACGUCCGGAAACGGGCGCUAAUACCGCAUACGUCCUGAGGGAGAAAGUGGGGGAUCUUCGGACCUCACGCUAUCAGAUGAGCCUAGGUCGGAUUAGCUAGUUGGUGGGGUAAAGGCCUACCAAGGCGACGAUCCGUAACUGGUCUGAGAGGAUGAUCAGUCACACUGGAACUGAGACACGGUCCAGACUCCUACGGGAGGCAGCAGUGGGGAAUAUUGGACAAUGGGCGAAAGCCUGAUCCAGCCAUGCCGUGUGUGUGAAGAAGGUCUUCGGAUUGUAAAGCACUUUAAGUUGGGAGGAAGGGCAGUAAGUUAAUACCUUGCUGUUUUGACGUUACCAACAGAAUAAGCACCGGCUAACUUCGUG
rnacentral:rRNA from 1 species